rnacentral:rRNA from 1 species
AUACGGAGGAUGCAAGCGUUAUCCGGAUUCAUUGGGUUUAAAGGGUGCGCAGGCGGAUGUGUAAGUCAGUGGUGAAAUCCUACGGCUCAACCGUAGAACUGCCAUUGAUACUGCACGUCUUGAGUCUAGUUGAAGUGGGCGGAAUGUAGCAUGUAGCGGUGAAAUGCAUAGAUAUGCUACAGAACACCUAUUGCGAAGGCAGCUCACUAAACUAUAACUGACGCUCAUGCACGAAAGCGUGGGGAGC